rnacentral:misc_RNA from 1 species
GGAAGCACCAUCGACUUCUCCAAAGAAAGUCUGUCUAACUCAAUGUUCCUCUAGCAUGAACGGUAAUUACCCUCUACAUUUAUUUCGUAACUACCAAAACUAUUUAUAUAGUUUUAUAUAUGUUACCCAGGAGAUGAGGACUGUUCAACAACUCGUCCUAGUAGAACUGAAAUAUAUGCAAUUGAACUAACAACAGAAGCAUGCGGAUCAUCAUGUAAACGGAAAUUGGGAGUUAUGAAACUCCCAACCGAUUCCUCAUUAUCAUGUGCCAGAACAAAAAUUGUUGUCCUUAUACGCUAUUUACCAGCCAGUUUUAUAUUUUUAACUAAAGAUGGAUAUCCAAUAACAAAAGAUGACGAGAAUCAAUUUACCUGCUCGGAUAUUUGUGAUGAAAGAAAUUUAAUAAAAAUUCAGAAGAAUUUUGAGAAACCUCGAAUUGGUGUACAAGAUGUAAAAAAUAAUGAUUUCGGUUUUAUAUUUAUUGAUCACACUUGCGGUUUAUCAGCACUUAGAACAGCCAUUCAAACGGAGUUAAAAGUACCAGAAAAUUUUCGCUUUAAAGAUUCCAACAAUUGGCUUGUAAUUAAAGAACACGAAGCUAAAUUGGUGGUUCUAGACGUUCUUCAGGGAGCCGUUGUAAAAAUUACUGAAGUUAAGAAAAGGCCUCUUCCUCCUCCCCCUCCUCCUCCUCCUCCUCCUAUCCAGGCUGCUGGUGAUGACUACAAAGAUAUUCUUAUUUCGUAUGUUAGACAAGAGGCUGCGGAAUUCGCUCUCCUAUUAAAAUCAGCUUUGAUUCGAAAAUUUGUUACAGUCUACCUAGAUGUUCAUGAAAUUAAGCCUGGAAUUGACUGGCAAGAUUCUUUAAACAAUGCAGUUACUCAUUGUCAAUUAUUUGUUCCAUUAAUAACGAAAAAUUACGGUGAAACGCAAUGGACCAAUAGAGAGGUUAAACUAGCCGAUGUACUAAGAAAACCUAUUCUUCCAGUUACGUUUUUAACGCAUUGGCCCCCCCAACCGUUAGCCAUUCAGUUCGCUUCAACUCAGUAUGUUACCUAUCGUCCAGAUUUAAAUAUUAAGGGAACUGCUGAUACUCAAUCCGUCUAUAGCGAAGUUCUUUCGCCUAACUCUCAAGAAAAUGCAAAUACAAUAGAAAAUACUAAAUGGCAUCCAGAACAUGUUGAAUUUGUUGCCGAUGAAAUAGGAAAAUUUCUUCGAGAUUCGAACAAUGACAAUUCGAAGAAACUUAAGACAUCUUUAGCAAGACAACCAUCGAAGUUAAAGAGCUAUCCAAAAACAUCAAAACUUCCCAUUGAUAUAGGUUAUCAAGUAAGGGGAAAUAAAGAAGGAAAUCCUUUAGUUGUAAUAAGUCUUCAUCCUGCUAAAAAUUCUUUUGGACAAAAAAUAGCCAAGUUAGUAGAAGAUGUUUGUGUCGAUGUCUGGCUUUCAACAUCUUGUGAAUCCCUAGCCGAUGAACCAACACUCCCUGAAAAUGUCUCACCAAAAUUACGUAACUCGGAAUUUUUUUCACCAACUCCGGAAGCUAGUUUAAAGCGCAGUUCAAUCUUUCAAGAUAAAGCAAACGAGGCAGGUUGCAUAAUUUUGCUAUUAUCGAAAGAGUUUAUAGCAUCCAAUAUAUCAAAAAGCCAUCUUUACUAUUGUGAGCAUAGAAAACGACUCAUACCAAUAAUAUGCGACGAUUUUGAGAUGCCUGCGUGGACUAAUCGUUUAAUCAAUAGCAGACUAAUUAUUGACGCUAGAACAAAGAAUUUUGAAGAAACUCUCAAGUAUAACAUAAGAAAAGCCCUUCAUACAAGUGCAAGGUUUUGUUGGGCGGAUGAUGUGGAGGAGGAAAAAAUUUCCACCGCUUCCAACUUAAUAAAGAAACUGAUGCCUACAGGAUUUAGCGUGUACGUCACAGGUUCCAAGUUGAUAAACAAUGAAGAGACAAGAAAUAUCUGCAAACUUAUAGGCCAACAUCUGGCAGCUUUGGAGAACGUUCAUAUUGUAACUGGUGGAUUCAAAGGUGUUGGGGAUGUUGUUGCUAGAUCAGCAUUCGAUGAAAGGAACGACGUGGUGGAUGAUGAAAAGCAUAUAUGGCACAUACUUCCCAGAAAAGACGACUACAAAUAUUCAGAUGUGGCCGACCAAAACGAAGAUGGAACAUUUGAAAUGGUGGAAUAUGGCAAUACUGUAUUUUCAGGCGAUUCCGUCAAGGAGAGAGAGAUUAUAACUUCAAGAGUUUUCGAUAUAUGUAUUCUCAUCGGUGGCGGUCCCGAGUUAGCUAAGGAAAUAGACCAUUUCGUUUGGAGUGAGAAAGUAGUGUUACCAAUCAGAAAAACAGGUGGAGCAGCUGAUGGUAAAUACGACAUUUCACCAAAAAUAUUUGAUCUACCUGUAGCAGUAUCAUUGGAGGACUGGUCUGUCUUGUUGGAUGAUCAAGCUUCACCAGAAAGAAUUGGAAAGGCUGUAGCCAAAAUAACAAUGGACUUGAAAAAGCAACAUGCUGUGGAAGCACCAUCUCAAUAUGCAACAACCCCUUUUGAAACUCCCGUUGGCAUGAAGAAGGGAUUUUUAUUUAAACAAAAUACUUUAGAGCAGAGUUAGAUAUAAUAUAUGAUUUUUCUAUCAAAUCCUUGUUUGUUAAGAUAUGUUUGUUUCUUUAAAUUUUUUUUUAGAUAUCUUCAUCAAAAACAACGUUCAUGAUUGAUUGUUUUCUUACUGUGUAAGAGAAUUCACAUUAAAUGGUAAUAUACAGUAUACUAUAUACAGUAUAUAUAUAUAUAUAUAUAUAUAUAUAGUGAGAAAUCGCUUUCGUAGUCUUUAAAGAAAGUUGUGAAGACUAAAUAAGUAUAUAUAUGUGCCUGUAUAUUUACAGAAGACUGCCUUUAUAAAUUUCAACUUGCUAAUAUUUACAAAUGUCGUUGGUUUAUUAGUCUCCAACUGGUUGGUUAGUUCUCUCUAUCAACGUCCUGGGAUAUUGAACGAAUAUCGCUGUAGAUUGACAGUUCUCUCUCUCUAACUCAACUUUUUUUAAAUAUUUAUUGCGAAACUGCUCUUUUCUUAACUUAAUACAUCUUCUUUCAACCAUCCAUUGGAGAAAGACAGUAAAAAUAGGUGUAACAGCUACAAGUAUGAUGAACGAAAAUAGCAUAAGAAGGCAAGAAAAAGCCGUAGAGAGAGCUAAAUCACCUCUGACCCUUGAUUUAGAUAUUGUAGAAUUAGGAUUUCUUUCCAAAAAUUCCCUGAUAUAUUCAUAAGAAUUUUGAUAUUGAUAAAAUGGUAAUGUUCUAUACCACAAUAAAUUAUAGUCUGUGGAAUGUCCAUUAAAUGUAGUUUCAAUCCUUUCUUUGGCUAAUAAAUAACUUUCCUUUGGCUUUAAAUAACGUUCCAUUAUUGACCUACGAACUUUAUUCGAUUUUCCUUCUCUUUGUUGUAAUAAAUCACUCUCAUAAGUAUGGAUUAAUUGGAAAACGAGGAAUAAUAACCUCAUAAUUUAUCAUCAACAAAUGGAGGUAAAUAGUUUGAAGAUCUCUUGAUCUUUUUAUUUUGUUUUUGUUUUUGUUGUAAUUAAACACAUUAAUAUUAAAC